GUGAGUGAGUCUCUGCUUCAACUCACAGAUCAAAUGCGUUCCUUCAGCAGCACUGCCAACUGCCUCCUCUAUGGAUCAUAACGCUAACUGAAGAUUGCUCCAACGGAAGAAGUAAGUUCAAUGUGCUCGUGCAAAUCGAAAUCGUUGCCGACACCUUCCAUGCUCACCGGAGAACUCUCCACGCUCCUCAAUGUUUUCCCUCUCCAAGAACUCCACAUAAGCGACCAGAUCAAGCACGAGAUCGUUCCCAAUCAAGCGCAUCUCUCUUUGAUUUUCGACAAACUAGAGAUUCGCAAUGCGUCCAGCUGUAGAGCGGAGAUUGAGAGCCUGGAGGAAGAGAUUAUCAAUCGGAGCGAGGAACAAUCCAAAAUGGACCUCAUCACGUUGAUCGGCAUCGUUCGUUUCGCCAAGUGCAUCCUCUUCGACGCGUCAACGCCGUCGCCGAGAGCCGCCGUUCUGCAGCGGAACCAGUCGUCGGAGUUAACGAUUCCGACAGAUUAUUGGAAGGCGGCGACGCUAUUGAGGAUUUUGCGGCGGGGCUGGAUGCCGGAGAGAGUGAGGGAUUCUCAACUACCACCAUGGUAAUUUCUACUUCGGUGGCACAGUAACACUUUCAUUUCACUGUCAUGCGAUUAGUGACUGUGCUUUCUGUGUUACUGUGACACUAACAUAUUCAAUGUUGCUGGCAAGAGAGCGUCAUAAUUAUAAAAUGUUCAAAGCUGAAAUUGCAUUGAAUCACACUUGCCUUGAGGUAUGAUCAAACAUUUUUUGAGGAUGAAAACAGAAAUAGAAUGAUGGAGACUAAGGAACUUUUCGAGUGGGUCCUGGAGCAACCGUGUUUUGAGGUUCCACUUAAUGUAUGUGAGUGGUUCAAAGAUUACCAACCGGUUUCAACAGGGAAACAAGAGAUUGAGCAUGCAUAUGACUUCAAGAUGGAUAAUGUAUAUAUGCAAACUUGCCGCAGAAGGAUUCUCAAGUCAACAAUGAAAACGAAGCCAGUUUAAUAAAUAAUUCUGAUAUUCAACCGAAGGAGAGGUUGUCAAGUCAUACUACACAAGGUUGCAAGUCUGACUCCUUUAGGUUUGUUGAGUAUUGGGUUCCUGUACAAAUAUCUAAUGUGCAGCUCGAGCAGUAUUAUGAUAUUUUGCUUUCCAAUGCUUCAAUUCUUCGCUCAUCAUCAAAGGUUGAUAGUGGGGAGGCUGUUCGAGAUGUUCUUAUUUCAAUUCGAAAGGCCAUGGAGCUGUCUGGAACACUGCAAAAGUGGAGUCAGGGUCAAUUGUCGCUGUUUUUGGCCUUGGAACUGUUGGGCUUGCUGUUGCUGAGGGUGCAAAAGCUGCUGGUGCAUCCCGGAUUAUUGGCAUAGAUAUUGAUAGCAAGAAGUUGCAUAUAGGAAUAUUUAGAGGAUUUUGCAGCCCUUGAUCUAGUUCUUGGUCUAGACACUGAAGGUUUGUUGUGACUAUGAGCUUUAGCCUUUUGUGAGGGCUGAUCCACUUCCUUCCACACAUAUCCACUCUCUGUAAGGAUCUUGAAAUCUUGCUGGACAGAGGGAGCAUAACUAGCUAAACAGCUCUUGUUGAACAUUAUAGAAGUCAUCUAUUCGAUCAAGACAUGGGUCCGGCCAAAAGCUACUCGCACUCGGGGUCUUCGACUUAAGAUCCUUUGGUACAUGAGGCAGCAAAUCCUCUUGUUCAUCUUCAGAUUCGGUAGCAGCAUCUGCAAUGGCUGCAAAAUCCCACUUUUUAUGACAUUUUGUGCUUGUGCUAUGUCACCAUCAAUAUGCGAGACUAAAACUUGAUCCUGAUCAGACUGAUGGUGCUGAUUAUUAUCAUUUGAGAUGUCUUCCAAAGAUGGCAUGCCAUCUAAAGAAGAAUCGUUGUCACUUGCUAGUCCCCUAGAAGACUGAAGCUCACAUUCUGCUGGUGCAACACUAGAAAUUGCAUCCUUCUAACAGCUACAAGCUUGGAUCACCGCAUGAGAUUCUGGAACAGCUUCCGCAGCAGACACAGAAUAGGUGUCAUCAGCUAAGGCCGUUUUUGCAAUGACAGUUGAAUGAACCACUCGGUUUGCAGGAUCUUUAACCGAGUCAACGAUCACCAAAUUGACUGGCUGAUCAUCAAGCAAUGUAGAACUAUAAUCAGCAUUAGCAGGCUCCUCAACUGCAACAUCCGAAAUAAUAUUUGGAUCACUCCUAGCUACAUUAAACACAUACUUCUAUCUUAUAUCUUCUAUCUUAUAUGAGAAUAUUUUUAAAGAUUUUUUUUUUCUA